rnacentral:misc_RNA from 1 species
UUGUGGAGGAGGACGCCGAAGGUGGGGCUAAUGACUGGGGUGAAGUCGUAACAAGGUAGCCGUACCGGAAGGUGCGGCUGGAUCACCUCCUAACAGGGAGACAACAAAAUGUUUAAUAUUAUUAUUUUGUCACCUUAGGUCGAUCGGUAUCUCACGUUCUUAAUUCAUUAAGAAUUUCAUUUCCUAAGUUUUUCUAGGUCACACCCAUUAUUUUCCUGGGCCAUUAGCUCAGGUGGUUAGAGCGCACCCCUGAUAAGGGUGAGGUCCCUGGUUCAAGUCCAGGAUGGCCCAUAUCUCUAUGUUGGGGGUAUAGCUCAGUUGGUAGAGCGCCUGCUUUGCAAGCAGGAUGUCAGCGGUUCGAGUCCGCUUACCUCCACUGAUUACCACCUCUUCCAUAAUCUGUAGAAAGGGAAUGUUUUGAGUUGUGAUCAAAUUCUGAACGAAUUUAGCUUCCUAAUGAAAUCAUUAAGAUGCUGGACUCAUUGAAUUAAUUUCAUUGUUUUCAGAGAACCUUGACAACUGCAUAGAUUAUUUUUAAAGACAAUAAGCAUCUUUAAUGAUGCAGAUUUAUUAUUUGUGCGAAUGCAUUAAUAACAAUUCUAUUAAGCUGAUGCUUCAAUUUUGAAGUUAUUGGUCAAGCUACAA